rnacentral:rRNA from 1 species
CUAGGAAUCUUGCGCAAUGGGAGAAAUCCUGACGCAGCAACGCCGCGUGGGUGAUGAAGGCCUUCGGGUUGUAAAGCCCUUUUAGUGGGGACGAAACAAAUGACGGUACCCGCAGAAAAAGCACCGGCUAACUCUGUGCCAGCAGCCGCGGUAAUACAGAGGGUGCAAGCGUUAUUCGGAAUUACUGGGCGUAAAGCGCAUGUAGGCGGUUCGGUAAGUCUGGUGUGAAAGCCCCCGGCUCAAUCGGGGAAGUGCACCGGAUACUGCCAGACUGGAGUACAGGAGGGGAGAACGGAAUUCCUGGUGUAGAGGUGAAAUUCGUAGAUAUCAGGAGGAACAACUGCGGCGAAGGCGGUUCUCUGGACUGUAACUGACGCUGAGAUGCGAAAGCGUGGGGAGCAAACAGGAUUAGAUACCCUGGUAGUCCACGCCGUAAACGAUGGGCACUAGGUGUCGCGGGUAUUGACCCCUGCGGUGACGACGCUAACGCAUGAAGUGCCCCGCCUGGGGAUUACGGCCGCAAGGCUA